AUUGAACGCUGGCGGCAGGCCUAACACAUGCAAGUCGAGCGGCAGCGGGAAAGUAGCUUGCUACUUUUGCCGGCGAGCGGCGGACGGGUGAGUAAUGCCUGGGAAAUUGCCCAGUCGAGGGGGAUAACAGUUGGAAACGACUGCUAAUACCGCAUACGCCCUACGGGGGAAAGCAAGGGCCCUUCGGGCCUUGCGCGAUUGGAUAUGCCCAGGUGGGAUUAGCUAGUUGGUGAGGUAAUGGCUCACCAAGGCGACGAUCCCUAGCUGGUCUGAGAGGAUGAUCAGCCACACUGGGACUGAGACACGGCCCAGACUCCUACGGGAGGCAGCAGUGGGGAAUUUUGGACAAUGGGCGCAAGCCUGAUCCAGCCAUGCCGCGUGUCUGAAGAAGGCCUUCGGGUUGUAAAGGACUUUUGUCCGGGAGCAAAUGCCUGGUGUUAAUAGCACUGGGAGCUGAGAGUACCGGAAGAAUAAGCACCGGCUAACUACGUGCCAGCCGCCGCAGUAACAC
rnacentral:rRNA from 1 species